rnacentral:tRNA from 1 species
UAGGGUAUAACGAAAUAGGUAUCGUGUUUGCUUUGGGAGUAAAAAGUUACAGGUUCGAGUCCUGUUACCCUAA